UGGCCUGUGAGGAAAUCAAUUAAACAUAACACCAUCUUUCGGGACUGAUUGGCCUUUAUAUGGCCUUGAUGUUAUAUUCUGCAAUUCUGAGGCCU